ACGCACUGAUAGUUAUUAAAUAAAAGAUGUUGACAUUGUGAAAACUUGUCAUUUAAAAUUAUGUUACAAAGAUGAUUUAUGAAAUAUGUUUAUAAAAAAAAGUUGAAAUACCAAUACUACUGAUAAUAUCAUUUUAAUAAUAGUAUUUAACAUUUAGUCCUACCCCCCCUCGCCCCCAUGUGGAAUCUAUAAGGUCAUUUUCCUGAUUGACCACAAACUUGUUUUGGGGAUAGUUAUCCAGGACUUUUAGUUGCUACCAACGAACGGCAGGUUGUUAGUUUUAAUAUUAUUGAUCCGCCGUAGCCGUGGUCUUCCCUGGUUAAUACUAAAGAUAUCGUAAGAGUGUAGGGACGUAUGCACAAAUAGGGGGCGCAUAUCCAGUAAACGUCACCAUAGAUUUUUUUUUUUUUU